rnacentral:rRNA from 1 species
GACGAACGCUGGCGGCGUGCUUAACACAUGCAAGUCGAACGGAAAGGCUCCAGCUUGCUGGAGUGCUCGAGUGGCGAACGGGUGAGUAACACGUGGGCAAUCUGCCCUGCACUCUGGGAUAAGCCUGGGAAACUGGGUCUAAUACCGGAUAGGACCUUUCUCCUCAUGGGGUUUGGUGGAAAGUUUUUCGGUGCAGGAUGAGCCCGCGGCCUAUCAGCUUGUUGGUGGGGUAAUGGCCUACCAAGGCGACGACGGGUAGCCGGCCUGAGAGGGUGAUCGGCCACAUUGGGACUGAGAUACGACCCAGACUCCUACGGGAGGCAGCAGUGGGGAAUAUUGCACAAUGGGCGAAAGCCUGAUGCAGCGACGCCGCGUGAGGGAUGACGGCCUUCGGGUUGUAAACCUCUUUCAGUAGGGACGAAGCGCAAGUGACGGUACCUGCAGAAGAAGCACCGGCUAACUACGUG